rnacentral:tRNA from 1 species
ACCUCAUUGGCUCAGUCGGUAGAGCAUCUGACUCUUGAUCUUGGGGUCAUGAGUUUGAGUCCCAUGUUCGGUG